UACGGAGGGUGCAAGCGUUAUCCGGAAUCACUGGGUUUAAAGGGUACGUAGGCUGUUUGAUAAGUCAGAUGUGAAAUGUCGGAGCUUAACUUCGGAUCUGCAUUUGAUACUGUCAGACUUGAAUUGGGUGGAGGUGCACGGAAUGCAUCAUGUAGCGGUGAAAUGCUUAGAUAUGAUGUAGAACACCAAUAGCGAAGGCAGUGCACCACGCCUUGAUUGACGCUGAGGUACGAAAGCGUGGGGAGCGAACAGG
rnacentral:rRNA from 1 species